UAUGGUUUUUCCAGGAGCAAUGUAUGUCUGUGAGAACUGGACUAUAAGGAAAGUUGUGCCCUGCAGAAUUGAUACUUUCAAAUUAUGAUGCUGGAGAAGACUCUGAGAGUUCCUUGGACUGCAAGGAAGUCAAAUCAGUUAACACUUAAAGAAAUUAAUUCAGACUAUUCACUGGAUGGUCAAAUACUGAAGAUGAAACUUCCUGUAUGUCACCUCCCGUUGGAAUGAGCUCCCUGACAGCAGAGACUGUCUUGCUUUUCUACUAUAUCCACAGGACUUUGCAUCAUGCUAUGUACAUAAGUGUUUAAUAAAUGCUUUUUCAUUCAU